CUGGCACGCUAACUGAGCCAACUCAAUUUUGAUUUGAGCCGAUCCAAUCUCCUGGUUUAGUUGACUCAGUUGUGAACUGAGCCAACCUAGUUGUCACAAGCACAUGAAACAGGUUAUUAUUCCAUCACAGUGAACUGACCCAGUAGCAAACUUAGUCGAUCCACCAUAUUGAGCCGACUUAGUUGUGAACUAAGUCAACCCAAUUGCUUCAGGUC
rnacentral:lncRNA from 1 species